rnacentral:rRNA from 1 species
AUGGUUGUGGCUUGGCCACCGGGCACACAAUCCAUUGAUUCACACAUAAGGUCAAAACCGAGUCGCGGUGUUCACAAUGCUGGGCAUUAUUUAUAUCGAAGGACGAGGAGGAAGAUUUGGAUGACCAUAACGACAAUGGCAAGGGCAGCAACAUGGUCGUCACCUGCAAUGCCGAUGGGUGCUGAGAUUAUGAUGUUUGGUUUAUUUGUUGAAAGUUACAACCCAUGUUUCAUGAUUUAUUUGCCGCCGGUUAAUCAUGAUAUUUUGAAGUGCUCUGACAAUUUCUUGCUGUCUGCAUCUCUUACUUUUCAACUUGAUGCAUAUACAGAUAUACACCAUUAG